GUGCUCACUUUUGCAGCACACACACUAAAACUGGAAUGACACAGAGAAGGUGAGCGUGGCCCCUGCUCAAGGAUGACACGCACAUUUGUGAACGUUCCAUAUUUUUU